UGGGUAGGGGUGAAAGGCUAAUCAAACUGAGAGAUAGCUCGUACUCCCCGAAAUGUUUUUAGGAACAGCCUGAGGUGGACUGUCUUAGAGGUAGAGCUACUGAUUGGAUGCGGGGGCUUCACCGCCUACCAAAUCCUGACAAACUCCGAAUGCUAAGACAUAAUACCUUGGAGUGAGGCUAUGGGUGCUAAGGUCCGUGGCCGAGAGGGAAAGAACCCAGACCAUCAGCUAAGGUCCCCAAAUAAUUACUAAGUUGGUUAAACGAGGUCUGAUUGCAUUGACAGCUAGGAUGUUGGCUUGGAAGCAGCCAUUCAUUUAAAGAGUGCGUAACAGCUCACUAGUCGAGCGAUCGGGCAUGGAUAAUAAUCGGGCAUAAGUAGUUUACCGAAGCUAUGGUAUAGUGCUUUAGGGCACUGUAGGUAGGGGAGCAUUCCAGUCUGCGUAGAAGGUGAAUCGUAAGGUUUGCUGGAGCGUCUGGAAAAGCAAAUGUAGGCAUAAGUAACGAUAAUGCGGGCGAGAAACCCGCACACCGGAAGACUAAGGUUUCCUGAUCAACGCUAAUCGGAUCAGGGUUAGUCGGGACCUAAGGCGCACCCGAAGGGGGAAGUCGAUGGACAAUUGGUUAAUAUUCCAAUACUAUCGUUAACUGCGAAGUGGAGACGAAGGAGUGACAUGUCUGCCAACUGACGGAAUAGUUGGUUAAAGGGUGUAGAUAUAUUGAUUGGAGGCAAAUCCCUGAUCGAUGUCGAACCUGAUAGUACCGGGAGUUUUCGGACAAACGGAUAAUGACAGUAAACAGACUUCCAAGAAAAUCCGCUAAGCAUCAGGUUAACGAUACCCGUACCGCAAACCGACACAGGUAGUCGAGGAGAGUAUCCAAAGGUGCUCGAGUGAAUCAUGGCUAAGGAACUAGGCAAAUUAGUCCUGUAACUUCGGGAAAAAGGACCCCUACGCAAGUAGGGCGCAGAGAAAUGGCCCAGGCGACUGUUUAGCAAAAACACAUGGCUUUGCAAAAUUGAAAGAUGAAGUAUAAGGCCUGACACCUGCCCGGUGCUGGAAGGUUAAGAGGAGAGGUUAGUCGCAAGGCGAAGCUUUGAAUUGAAGCCCCAGUAAACGGCGGCCGUAACUAUAACGGUCCUAAGGUAGCGAAAUUCCUUGUCGGGUAAGUUCCGACCUGCACGAAUGGUGUAACGAUCUGGGCACUGUCUCAGCCAUGAGCUCGGUGAAAUUGUAGUAGCGGUGAAGAUGCCGCUUACCCGCAACGGGACGGAAAGACCCCGUGAACCUUCACUAUAGCUUAACAUUGACUUUGAAUAAAUGAUGUGUAGGAUAGGUGGGAGACUGAGAAUUGGCCUCGCUAGGGGUCAAGGAGUCAACCUUGAAAUACCACCCUUUGUUUCUUCGGAGCCUAAUCCCCAAAAAGGGGAGACAGUGUUUGGUGGGUAGUUUGACUGGGGUGGUCGCCUCCAAAAGCGUAACGGAGGCUUUCAAAGGUACCCUCAGCACGCUUGGUAACCGUGCGUAGAGUGCAAUAGCAAAAGGGUGCUUGACUGUGAGACCAACAAGUCGAACAGGUAGGAAACUAGGAUAUAGUGAUCCGGUGGUUCCGUAUGGAAGGGCCAUCGCUCAAAGGAUAAAAGGUACUCCGGGGAUAACAGGCUGAUCACUCCCAAGAGCUCACAUCGACGGAGUGGUUUGGCACCUCGAUGUCGGCUCGUCACAUCCUGGGGCUGGAGAAGGUCCCAAGGGUUCGGCUGUUCGCCGAUUAAAGUGGCACGCGAGCUGGGUUCAGAACGUCGUGAGACAGUUCGGUCCCUAUCUGUUGUGGGCGUAGGAAGUUUGAGAGGCGCUGACCUUAGUACGAGAGGACCGGGUUGGACAAACCUCUGGUGGACCUGUUGUGGAGCCAAUCUGCACCGCAGGGUAGCCACGUUUGGAUGAGAUAAGCGCUGAAAGCAUCUAAGCGCGAAACUCGCCUCAAGAUGAGACUUCCCUUGAGGGCCGUUAUAGAUUAUGACGUUGAUAGGCUGCAGGUGUAAAGGUGGUAACAUCAAAGCCGAGCAGUACUAAUAGCCCGAUACUUUCUUCAA
rnacentral:rRNA from 1 species